rfam:Agrococcus casei LMG 22410 genome assembly, contig: Scaffold11
GGAGGGCUGUCCGAGCGGCCGAAGGAUCUGGUCUUGAAAACCAGCAGGCGAGAGCCUCGUGGGUUCGAAUCCCACGCCCUCCG